UCCUACUAGCCUGAAAGCCUACCUGCAGA
rnacentral:piRNA from 1 species